rnacentral:rRNA from 1 species
GAUGCAUAGCCGACCUGAGAGGGUGAUCGGCCACAUUGGGACUGAGACACGGCCCAAACUCCUACGGGAGGCAGCAGUAGGGAAUCUUCGGCAAUGGACGAAAGUCUGACCGAGCAACGCCGCGUGAGUGAAGAAGGUUUUCGGAUCGUAAAACUCUGUUGUUAGAGAAGAACAAGGAUGAGAGUAACUGUUCAUCCCUUGACGGUAUCUAACCAGAAAGCCACGGCUAACUACGUGCCAGCAGCCGCGGUAAUACGUAGGUGGCAAGCGUUGUCCGGAUUUAUUGGGCGUAAAGCGAGCGCAGGCGGUUUCUUAAGUCUGAUGUGAAAGCCCCCGGCUCAACCGGGGAGGGUCAUUGGAAACUGGGAGACUUGAGUGCAGAAGAGGAGAGUGGAAUUCCAUGUGUAGCGGUGAAAUGCGUAGAUAUAUGGAGGAACACCAGUGGCGAA